GAGGAGAAGCCCCUGUCAGGAGGAAGCAAGCAAGGAAGGAGGCACGUUGGAAGGCAACAACAACAAGCAACCCACGAAAGAGACCGGCAUCUCACAACCCAUGGGACAAAAACAAGGAAACAACUCCCAGCACGUAGGGCAUCAUCAGAGGUAAGAUCUACAGAGAUACUCGCAGGAACAUCACCCGGAACCUCAACCCAUGGCUGAUUCCAAAUGAGAGCACACAAGACUGGACGACUUGGAAGACGUUGAACACAGAGAGCUCUGGCACCAGGAGAUGAAAAGCCAACCUUAGGAAAUGGAGCUACUGAGUGGAGUCUACUACGACAUGCGAGUGUGGAGAAGAGCCAACCACAGGCCACCUACUACAAUGCAGCCUGAGCCCAGCCACAGGCACAAUGGAGGACCUUCUUAUUGCCACACCAGAGGCACUCCAUGUGGCCAGCUACUGGUCAAAGGACAUUUAGUAUCAUGCCAAGUUUUUAAUUUUGUGUUUUUAGAUACAACUGUACCCACGGUUCUCUUCUGACACGAUAAAUAAAUAAUCCUCAGAGGU